AAUCAACGCUGGCGGCGCGCUUAACACAUGCAAGUCGAACGAGAAAGUGGAGCAAUCCAUGAGUAAAGUGGCGUACGGGUGAGUAACACGUGGGUAAUCUGCCUCUUUGUGGGGAAUAACUCUGGGAAACCGGAGCUAAUACCGCAUAAGCCUGGAAAGGGAAAGCAAGCAAUUGCGCAGAGAGAGGAGCCCGCGGCCGAUUAGCUAGUUGGCAGGGUAAAAGCCUACCAAGGCAAUGAUCGGUAGCCGGCCUGAGAGGGCACACGGCCA
rnacentral:rRNA from 1 species